UCCAAACUACUCCACAGUUAAUACAACUUACAAGAUCAAAGGUACUUAAACAAAUCCUUUAUCAUUGCACAAGCCAGUUAACAGGUAGUUCAUGGUAUGUGGUAGAAGCUAAAGAAAACUUCAUCACAAGCAUCACCUGAGAUCAACAAUGUCCUCAA